rnacentral:lncRNA from 1 species
GUGACGUUCCCUACGCGGUCGGGCGUUGGGUUUCGCGGCGCUCGCCGCACUGGUUGUUCAGCACCUUCGGUCCGGUUGAGGUUGUCAAGUCGGACCAAACAGGUUGUUUCUCUGCAGUUUCCAACAUGGCAGGGAGGUUUAAUAGACAUGGAUAAGAAGUCCACUCACAGAAAUCCUGAAGAUGCCAGGGCUGGCAAAUAUGAAGGUAAACACAAACGAAAGAAAAGAAGAAAGCAAAACCAAAACCAGCACCGAUCCCGACAUAGAUCAGUGACGUCUUUUUCUUCAGAUGAUCCUAUGUUUCCUUCUUCCUCAUCAUCGUCUUCAGGAAGCCAGACAGAUUCAAGUAUUGAAGUAACACAGACCCUCUGUAGAAUACCCAGGAGGGAUAGGAAUGAAUCAGAGAUGCUGCCAAGGGAAAAAUUAAGAAGAAGAGAAGAGAGAAAACAAAUAAAUGGGAAAAAAGAAAGGUGCGGUGAAACAUCAAUCGGCUUGGUCCACAGAUAAGCGUGUUCAACUCCCCGACGAGUGGACAAAAUAUGAAACACCAAGAAAAAGAGAAGGAAAAAAAGGAGGAAACAACCACAUAUGUCACCUUUCCAAGAGGGACUGAAACUGGGCUGACCCUUUUGAUUUCCAAGCUCAGCGUUUUGGUGUAAGGCGGCCAAAGAAGGAUGCGGAGCCCAGCACUGUGAAGCCUACAAAAACAUUGAUGCGCUGGCUUGGGGAUUUGAAUUUGAACAUCUUUCACACUAAGUUCAGACUCAUGAAACCAAUCUUCAGAUGCUCUGUAAACCACAUAAUAAAGAGUUUGGAAAU